rnacentral:rRNA from 1 species
ACGCUGGCGGCAGGCCUAACACAUGCAAGUCGAGCGGUAGAGAGAAGCUUGCUUCUCUUGAGAGCGGCGGACGGGUGAGUAAUGCCUAGGAAUCUGCCUGGUAGUGGGGGAUAACGUCCGGAAACGGACGCCAAUACCGCAUACGUCCUACGGGAGAAAGCAGGGGACCUUCGGGCCUUGCGCUAUCAGAUGAGCCUAGGUCGGAUUAGCUAGUUGGUGGGGUAAUGGCUCACCAAGGCGACGAUCCGUAACUGGUCUGAGAGGAUGAUCAGUCACACUGGAACUGAGACACGGUCCAGACUCCUACGGGAGGCAGCAGUGGGGAAUAUUGGACAAUGGGCGAAAGCCUGAUCCAGCCAUGCCGCGUGUGUGAAGAAGGUCUUCGGAUUGUAAAGCACUUUAAGUUGGGAGGAAGGCCAGUAAAUUAAUACUUUGCUGUUUUGACGUUACCGACAGAAUAAGCACCGGCUAACUCUGUGCCAGCAGCCGCGGUAAUACAGAGGGUGCAAGCGUUAAUCGGAAUUACUGGGCGUAAAGCGCGCGUAGGUGGUUCGUUAAGUUGGAUGUGAAAUCCCCGGGCUCAACCUGGGAACUGCAUUCAAAACUGACGAGCUAGAGUAUGGUAGAGGGUGGUGGAAUUUCCUGUGUAGCGGUGAAAUGCGUAGAUAUAGGAAGGAACACCAGUGGCGAAGGCGACCACCUGGACUGAUACUGACACUGAGGUGCGAAAGCGUGGGGAGCAAAC